rnacentral:snRNA from 1 species
GGAUGUGAGGGCGAUCUGGCUGCGACAUCUGUCACCCCAUUGAUCGCCAGGGUUGAUUCGGCUGAUCUGGCUGGCUAGGCGGGUGUCCCCUUCCUCCCUCACCGCUCCAUGUGCGUCCCUCCCGAAGCUGCGCGCUCGGUCGAAGAGGACGACCAUCCCCGAUAGAGGAGGACCGUUCUUCGGUCAAGGGUAUACGAGUAGCUGCGCUCCCCUGCUAGAACCUCCAAACAAGCUCUCAAAGGUGAUGCUUUUCAAAUGUUGGAUUUCUUUCUCAUUAGAUAACAUAAUCUAUUUUAGGCCCUGAUCAGGGUCUUGUUAU